ACCGGGAGAUAGCUGGUUCUCCCCGAAAGCUAUUUAGGUAGCGCCUCGUGAAUUCAUCUCCGGGGGUAGAGCACUGUUUCGGCAAGGGGGUCAUCCCGACUUACCAACCCGAUGCAAACUGCGAAUACCGGAGAAUGUUAUCACGGGAGACACACGGCGGGUGCUAACGUCCGUCGUGAAGAGGGAAACAACCCAGACCGCCAGCUAAGGUCCCAAAGUCAUGGUUAAGUGGGAAACGAUGUGGGAAGGCCCAGACAGCCAGGAUGUUGGCUUAGAAGCAGCCAUCAUUUAAAGAAAGCGUAAUAGCUCACUGGUCGAGUCGGCCUGCGCGGAAGAUGUAACGGGGCUAAACCAUGCACCGAAGCUGCGGCAGCGACGCUUAUGCGUUGUUGGGUAGGGGAGCGUUCUGUAAGCCUGUGAAGGUGUGCUGUGAGGCAUGCUGGAGGUAUCAGAAGUGCGAAUGCUGACAUAAGUAACGAUAAAGCGGGUGAAAAGCCCGCUCGCCGGAAGACCAAGGGUUCCUGUCCAACGUUAAUCGGGGCAGGGUGAGUCGACCCCUAAGGCGAGGCCGAAAGGCGUAGUCGAUGGGAAACAGGUUAAUAUUCCUGUACUUGGUGUUACUGCGAAGGGGGGACGGAGAAGGCUAUGUUGGCCGGGCGACGGUUGUCCCGGUUUAAGCGUGUAGGCUGGUUUUCCAGGCAAAUCCGGAAAAUCAAGGCUGAGGCGUGAUGACGAGGCACUACGGUGCUGAAGCAACAAAUGCCCUGCUUCCAGGAAAAGCCUCUAAGCAUCAGGUAACAUCAAAUCGUACCCCAAACCGACACAGGUGGUCAGGUAGAGAAUACCAAGGCGCUUGAGAGAACUCGGGUGAAGGAACUAGGCAAAAUGGUGCCGUAACUUCGGGAGAAGGCACGCUGAUAUGUAGGUGAGGUCCCUCGCGGAUGGAGCUGAAAUCAGUCGAAGAUACCAGCUGGCUGCAACUGUUUAUUAAAAACACAGCACUGUGCAAACACGAAAGUGGACGUAUACGGUGUGACGCCUGCCCGGUGCCGGAAGGUUAAUUGAUGGGGUUAGCGGUAACGCGAAGCUCUUGAUCGAAGCCCCGGUAAACGGCGGCCGUAACUAUAACGGUCCUAAGGUAGCGAAAUUCCUUGUCGGGUAAGUUCCGACCUGCACGAAUGGCGUAAUGAUGGCCAGGCUGUCUCCACCCGAGACUCAGUGAAAUUGAACUCGCUGUGAAGAUGCAGUGUACCCGCGGCAAGACGGAAAGACCCCGUGAACCUUUACUAUAGCUUGACACUGAACAUUGAGCCUUGAUGUGUAGGAUAGGUGGGAGGCUUUGAAGUGUGGACGCCAGUCUGCAUGGAGCCGACCUUGAAAUACCACCCUUUAAUGUUUGAUGUUCUAACGUUGACCCGUAAUCCGGGUUGCGGACAGUGUCUGGUGGGUAGUUUGACUGGGGCGGUCUCCUCCUAAAGAGUAACGGAGGAGCACGAAGGUUGGCUAAUCCUGGUCGGACAUCAGGAGGUUAGUGCAAUGGCAUAAGCCAGCUUGACUGCGAGCGUGACGGCGCGAGCAGGUGCGAAAGCAGGUCAUAGUGAUCCGGUGGUUCUGAAUGGAAGGGCCAUCGCUCAACGGAUAAAAGGUACUCCGGGGAUAACAGGCUGAUACCGCCCAAGAGUUCAUAUCGACGGCGGUGUUUGGCACCUCGAUGUCGGCUCAUCACAUCCUGGGGCUGAAGUAGGUCCCAAGGGUAUGGCUGUUCGCCAUUUAAAGUGGUACGCGAGCUGGGUUUAGAACGUCGUGAGACAGUUCGGUCCCUAUCUGCCGUGGGCGCUGGAGAACUGAGGGGGGCUGCUCCUAGUACGAGAGGACCGGAGUGGACGCAUCACUGGUGUUCGGGUUGUCAUGCCAAUGGCACUGCCCGGUAGCUAAAUGCGGAAGAGAUAAGUGCUGAAAGCAUCUAAGCACGAAACUUGCCCCGAGAUGAGUUCUCCCUGACUCCUUGAG
rnacentral:rRNA from 1 species